GUUUCUUUUUCCUAUAUUGUUCCUUCAGGUCCACAUCAGCAUUUUUCAAAAAAAUAACCCACCGCAGGUGACGAGAUGCACGGUGUGCUGUGCACUUUUUCACUGCCCCCUUUGCCCCACUGCCAUGUACAAGCCUCGGUCAAAGGCCAUGGUUUUGCGGCACUUGGAGGUGCAUAAAAAAAAUGCGCUCCAACAUGAAGAUUUCUACAUAACCAAAUGCAAUCAGGCCUGCAGGACUGGAAGCAGUGGCCACUUCCACUGCCCUUUCUGCAGUAAAACAACUGUCAGAAGGCAGGAUGCAGAGAGGCAUUGCAAAUCUGCCGGCCACUGUCUGUACUGGUGGAGGAGAGACCUCAGGACACGACAAAACAGAGUGAUCCCAUCCCUGACGGACAGGAGGACACAGCGACUGACAACUGCAGUAAACAGUCUGAAUCGUCCUUGCCAUGCAGCCCUAGCCUGGACAACCCUCCCCGCAGAGUGCUGCAAGCAAAAUUGACAAGUAUUGUUUGUCACCACUGCAAUGUGCAGAUUCUUAAAAAAAACAUGAAGAAACACAUCUACAGAAAACAUACGGACAUUUAAGAGCUGCAUGCCAGGUUAUGUUGGACAUGGGAAGUUGGGAGAGCUCCGGGGGAUUUAUUCUGAGGAUCCCCACCCUGGAUUUUGCGGCCAGUUCUGCCAGCUGCAGUCUGGAUGUUUUGACUAAAGAAAUAAAAAAGCUGCAUUCUUUAAAA